rnacentral:rRNA from 1 species
AACGAACGCUGGCGGCAGGCUUAACACAUGCAAGUCGAACGCAUCCUUCGGGGUGAGUGGCAGACGGGUGAGUAACGCGUGGGAACGUGCCCUUCAGUUCGGGAUAACCCAGGGAAACUUGGGCUAAUACCGGAUACGUGCGAGAGCAGAAAGAUUUAUCGCUGAAGGAUCGGCCCGCGUCUGAUUAGCUAGUUGGUGGGGUAAUGGUCCACCAAGGCGACGAUCAGUAGCUGGUCUGAGAGGAUGAUCAGCCACAUUGGGACUGAGACACGGCCCAAACUCCUACGGCAGGCAGCAGUGGGGAAUAUUAUACAAUGGGCGCAAGCCUGAUCCCUCCAUGCCGCGUGAGUGAUGAAGGCCUUAGGGUUGUAAAGCUCUUUCGUCCGGGACGAUAAUGACGGUACCGGAAGAAGAAGCCCCGGCUAACUUCGUGCCAGCCGCCGCGGUAA